GCUCUAAGUAUGUUUGAUUAGUUCUGAGCAUAGGUGCUGUCGGCACUUAGAGAAAUAAAAAAAAAAAACCCUCUGUAGGUUUGAUUCAACAACAUAACUAUGGUGUACCAUGUUAGUAACUUUAGCUGUCAUCAUAACAAAUUUCAACGCUAUUGAUUUCAUAUACAAACAAUCUGUUUGCUUUUUCAAUUGAACUACAAGUUCUCAUUCAUUUGAAUUCCACAGCUCAUUUUUGCUUUCUAUGUUUAGGCUGUUUAUCAAGGAAACAGUAUGAAGCUUCGGAUCCCUUUCCCAAGGCCAGCACAAGACAGAAAGGAUGUCAAGACUCUUAUUGUCGAAAUGCUUCAAUCUGCGAGAGCUUCGAUUUCAACUACGGAAUAAAAACUUUGUUUCACUUAAACAGAUUUGUCCCAGAACUAAAACUUAUCUUAUCCAAUCUCACCUAGUAUUUAUAUUUGUAAACAAGCUCACAUCCCAGAUGAUAUGAUGUAAAUGAUUUUGGGCAAAAAUACAUGUAGAAAUGAUAUUGCAAAGGCUGAGGCAAGUUCAGGGCUAAUUUGUUUGGGUGAAAGAGUAAAGACCAAAUUGCACUUUGUAUAAAGUGCAAGGCUUCAAUUUUUGAACAGUACAUCUAGUUUUAGCACAGGGAUGUGAGCCCAUUAAUGACUAGUUGGGAAUAUGCCAGAUCCAGUAAUUUCAUGACCGAUCGUACAAAGCAAAAUAUAUCUAUGCAGACCCGAAAAACUAAGAGUAUUUAAACACAAAAAAAUCUUAGAAGUUAGAAAUCCCCAAGAGCAAAUAUAUACAUAGUACAUAUUACAUAACGACCAGAUAAAGAGAGGGUGUUCAGGUCCAAAACAUUGUGUUCUUAAAUAGAUAACUAUGGCCCAAAAAAAAAAAAAAAAU